GGUAACUAAGGCUGGGAAUGUCAAACCACCGCGAUGCGCUGCACUACAAGUCACAAGCGAGCAUAAAUGAGUCAACAGUUGAGUCAUCUACUUUAUGAAAUUACAGCCUGAUGCGCGCACGUCGGUGAAUUCAAUUUCAGUUGCUCUGCUUUCUUGUGUCCCGUUUACAGCGCACAGCGACAGAGUUAUGUAUUUGGUAUCGAUCAAAUGGGCAGGCAGGAAGGCAAGUUCACAUUCAGUUGUCAAGACGUGGGUUUGGACAAACAUGCAUUGUCAGAUCCUGAGGACAAACAUCCUUCUGCAUCAAGACAGACUAUAUCCCACUACCUAAACUUGCGGUCAGCCUACAGCUAAUUCAUCCCUGCAACAGACUGAGCUGACCACCAUGCACUCUGAGGAUGGAUCUACGGUCGACGACAUCUUCUACUCCAAGGCUGGGCAAUUCUGGUGGAGGUCAACGGCAGAGCGGAGGUUUGAAGCUGCUUGGUCGUCUCUCCCCCCAAUUAGAGGAGGAUCUCUGGUCAAUGAAAGGUUUACCCAAUUAAUUGUUCCCUUCGGACCAUCUCAGUCUCCUGGCCAGGUUCCAGCUGGACUGAAACCCUGUGUAAUUUGGGCUGUUUGUGAUCAAUUAAUAAUCAGGAGGACCGAGGUCAAGUAUUUAAAAAUGUUUGUUCAAACUGUACAUGAUUUUCCCAUGGUGUGAUUCCAUGUUUUAUAAGUUCAUAAUUGUACUUAAUUGGUUCCUUGGGCUCACAUGGUUGUUUCCUACCUGAAGAGAAACUACUCAUCCCAAGGUCCAGAGGGGAUGGGAUGUCCUCUGAAGAAUUGUUUUUGUUUACAUGAAGAGAGAGCAAAACAAACCAAAAAGGUUGAAUUUAGUUCAAAGUUGGAAUUUAUUUGACAAAUUCUCUUACUGUUGAGAUUUGAAUGCAUGAAGCUUUUAGAUUUUAAAAGUUAAUAUUUUGUGAACAAACUGAGUAAACAAUCUGCUACACUAGUAAAUUAGAACAUUUAAAUCUUUACAAACUGUGUUUGAUGCGUUUUGUCCCUCUGGCUUUGGGCCAGUCGUAGUAUUAUUUUUCAAAUGAUAGAAAUAUUGAAUUCAUAUUUUCCAUAUACCAAUAUCAGUUUGGCAGUAUUUUGGGAAGAUCUACAUCCUGUCUUGCCUGGCUGAGAUGGUGUUAAUCCGUGACAAGGACU
ensembl:lncRNA